AUUGAACGCUGGCGGCAGGCCUAACACAUGCAAGUCGAGCGGAGCGGCGGAAGGGUGAGUAAUGCCUAGGAAUCUGCCUGGUAGUGGCGGAUAACGUCCGGAAACGGGCGCUAAUACCGCAUACUAUCAGAUGAGCCUAGGUCGGAUUAGCUAGUUGGGGGGGUAAAGGCCUACCAAGGCGACGAUCCGUAACUGGUCUGAGAGGGUGAUCAGUCACACUGGGACUGAGACACGGUCCAGACGCCUACGGGAGGCAGCAGUGGGGAAUAUUGGACAAUGGGCGAAAGCCUGAUCCAGCAAUGCCGCGUGAGUGAAGAAGGUCUUCGGAUUGUAAAGCACUGUAAGUUGGGAAGCGUUACCAAAAGAAAAAGCACCGGCUAACUACGUGCCAGCAGCCGCGGUAAUUC
rnacentral:rRNA from 1 species